rnacentral:rRNA from 1 species
CACGUAGGGCGCAAGCGUUGUCCGGAAUUAUUGGGCGUAAAGAGCUCGUAGGCGGUCUGUCGCGUCGAAUGUGAAAACCCGGGGCUCAACUCCGGGCUUGCAUUCGAUACGGGCAGGCUAGAGUUCGGUAGGGGAGUCUGGAAUUCCUGGUGUAGCGGUGAAAUGCGCAGAUAUCAGGAGGAACACCGGUGGCGAAGGCGGGACUCUGGGCCGAUACUGACGCUGAGGAGCGAAAGCGUGGGGAGCGAACAGG